CCAAAGCCAAAUGAGGAACUAACACCGGAUGCAUUCCCAAUAUCAAGAUUUGUAUAUACAUUGUCGGCGGAACUAGGAGUUGUUGGUGGCGGCGUGU